CUAUCGACAGGCUUAACACAUGCAAGUCGAGGGGCAGCACAGGUAGCAAUACCGGGUGGCGACCGGCGCACGGGUGAGUAACGCGUAUGCAACUUGCCUAUCAGAGGGGGAUAACCCGGCGAAAGUCGGACUAAUACCGCAUGAAGCAGGGAUCCCGCAUGGGAAUAUUUGCUAAAGAUUCAUCGCUGAUAGAUAGGCAUGCGUUCCAUUAGGCAGUUGGCGGGGUAACGGCCCACCAAACCGACGAUGGAUAGGGGUUCUGAGAGGAAGGUCCCCCACAUUGGUACUGAGACACGGACCAAACUCCUACGGGAGGCAGCAGUGAGGAAUAUUGGUCAAUGGCCGAGAGGCUGAACCAGCCAAGUCGCGUGAGGGAUGAAGGUUCUAUGGAUCGUAAACCUCUUUUAUAAGGGAAUAAAGUGCGGGACGUGUCCCGUUUUGUAUGUACCUUAUGAAUAAGGAUCGGCUAACUCCGUGCCAGCAGCCGCGGUAAUACGGAGGAUCCGAGCGUUAUCCGGAUUUAUUGGGUUUAAAGGGUGCGUAGGCGGCCUUUUAAGUCAGCGGUGAAAGUCUGUGGCUCAACCAUAGAAUUGCCGUUGAAACUGGGGGGCUUGAGUAUGUUUGAGGCAGGCGGAAUGCGUGGUGUAGCGGUGAAAUGCAUAGAUAUCACGCAGAACCCCGAUUGCGAAGGCAGCCUGCCAAGCCAUGACUGACGCUGAUGCACGAAAGCGUGGGGAUCAAACAGGAUUAGAUACCCUGGUAGUCCACGCAGUAAACGAUGAUCACUAGCUGUUUGCGAUACACUGUAAGCGGCACAGCGAAAGCGUUAAGUGAUCCACCUGGGGAGUACGCCGGCAACGGUGAAACUCAAAGGAAUUGACGGGGGCCCGCACAAGCGGAGGAACAUGUGGUUUAAUUCGAUGAUACGCGAGGAACCUUACCCGGGUUUGAACGCAUUCGGACCGAGGUGGAAACACCUUUUCUAGCAAUAGCCGUUUGCGAGGUGCUGCAUGGUUGUCGUCAGCUCGUGCCGUGAGGUGUCGGCUUAAGUGUCAUAACGAGCGCAACCCUUGCCACUAGUUACUAACAGGUAAAGCUGAGGACUCUGGUGGGACUGCCAGCGUAAGCUGCGAGGAAGGCGGGGAUGACGUCAAAUCAGCACGGCCCUUACAUCCGGGGCGACACACGUGUUACAAUGGCGUGGACAAAGGGAAGCCACCUGGCGACAGGGAGCGAAUCCCCAAACCACGUCUCAGUUCGGAUCGGAGUCUGCAACCCGACUCCGUGAAGCUGGAUUCGCUAGUAAUCGCGCAUCAGCCAUGGCGCGGUGAAUACGUUCCCGGGCCUUGUACACACCGCCCGUCAAGCCAUGGGAGCCGGGGGUACCUGAAGUCCGUAACCGCGAGGAUCGGCCUAGGGUAAAACUGGUGACUGGG
rnacentral:rRNA from 1 species